ACGAACGCUGGCGGCGUGCUUAACACAUGCAAGUCGAACGGAAAGGCCCUGCUUGCAGGGUGCUCGAGUGGCGAACGGGUGAGUAACACGUGGGUGAUCUGCCCCUUACUUUGGGAUAAGCCUGGGAAACUGGGUCUAAUACUGGAUAGGACCAUGCUGUAGGUGGUGUGGUGGAAAGAUUAGUUUCGGUAAGGGAUGAGCUCGCGGCCUAUCAGCUUGUUGGUGGGGUAAUGGCCUACCAAGGCGCCGACGGGUAGCCGGCCUGAGAGGGUGGACGGCCACAUUGGGACUGAGAGGCGGCCCAGACUCCUGCGGGAGGCAGCAGUGGGGAAUAUUGCACAAUGGGCGCAAGCCUGAUGCAGCGACGCCGCGUGGGGGAUGACGGCCUUCGGGUUGUAAACUCCUUUCAGCCAUGACGAAGCCCUUGUGGUGACGGUAGUGGUAGAAGAAACACCGGCUAACUACGU
rnacentral:rRNA from 1 species